CCCAUGCCAAAAUUCUGCACCUCAUUCCAUGAAAAUUGUCAUCUUGCAUGAAUCAUUAUGGCUCCCUUCUUUCACUUGUGAAAGAAAAGUAAAGACAAAUAUUUAUGCCUCCAAUAGAAGGUGGGGAGUAAGGUUAAAAUGCAUGACUUACCUGAGUCUCAAUCUCCAAGUUAUACCUCAUUUCAAAUAGAUUCUCCCAUGAUCCUUAGGGUGAUCUCUAACAGCCUCACCUUUCCAAACAUAUCUUAGAUAGUCAUUGUACACAAUCUUGUGAUCAUCUAAAAUCCUCCAGUAGUAAGCUUUGGAUGCUUAUUUGGAUGCCAUUAAACACAUCAUAUCGAAUUCCAAAGCCAUGAAUAUUGCUGUGCAC
rnacentral:lncRNA from 1 species